rnacentral:rRNA from 1 species
GACGUAGGGCGCGAGCGUUGUCCGGAUUUAUUGGGCGUAAAGAGCUCGUAGGCGGUUUGUUGCGUCGGCUGUGAAAUCCCGAGGCUCAACCUCGGGUCUGCAGUCGAUACGAGCAAACUAGAGUGUUGCAGGGGAGACUGGAAUUCCUGGUGUAGCGGUGAAAUGCGCAGAUAUCAGGAGGAACACCGGUGGCGAAGGCGGGUCUCUGGGCAGUAACUGACGCUGAGGAGCGAAAGCGUGGGGAGCGAACAGG